rnacentral:rRNA from 1 species
ACUCAAAUGAAUUGACGGGGGUCCGCACAAGCGGUGGAACAUGUGGUUUAAUUCGUCACUACGCGAGGAACCUUACCUAGGCUUGACAUGUUUAUGACAGCCGUAGAGAUACGGUCUUCUAGCUUUCGGGUUAGACAUUUACACAGGUGCUGCAUGGCUGUCGUCAGCUCGUGUCGUGAGAUGUUGGGUUAAGUCCUUUAACGAGCGCAACCCUUGUCGUCAGUUGCAAUUGCCUUCGGGUUAAGCACUCUGGCGAGACUGCCUGGGAAACCAGGAGGAAGGUGGGGACGACGUCAAGUCAUCAUGGUCCUUAUGUCUAGGGCUACACACGUGUUACAAUGGCAAGUACAAAAAGAUGCAAUAUCGCGAGAUGGAGCAAACCUUUAAAGCUUGUCUAAGUUCGGAUUGGAGUCUGCAACUCGACUCCAUGAAGUUGAAAUCGCUAGUAAUCGCGUAUCAGCAACGACGCGGUGAAUACGUUCUCGGACCUUGUACACACCGCCCGU